rnacentral:rRNA from 1 species
UACAGAGGGGGCAAGCGUUGUUCGGAAUUACUGGGCGUAAAGGGCGCGUAGGCGGCCUGUUAAGUCGAACGUGAAAUCCCCGGGCUCAACCCGGGAACUGCGUCCGAUACUGGCAGGCUUGAAUUCGGGAGAGGGAUGUGGAAUUCCAGGUGUAGCGGUGAAAUGCGUAGAUAUCUGGAGGAACACCGGUGGCGAAGGCGGCAUCCUGGACCGAGAUUGACGCUGAGACACGAAAGCGUGGGUAGCAAACAGG